AGGUUCGGACCCGAGGAACCGAGGACCCCAGCAGUGAGAUAGCUGCUUCAGAGUCUGUAGAGCUUCAGCCAGAGGUGAGUGGAAUAAACCUUAAGUUUUUAAAUAAAUGAAAUAUAACUUUUGAGCAUGUUCAUGCAUUAUAUAUGCCAUGUGAUAUUAUAGGGUGUUUGCAUUAGUAAUCACGAAGAUGUUGCAUUGCAUAAUUUGAUGUGGAUGUGGAUUGGUUAUUGAAUGAUCCUCUAGUCCUCCUAUGGUAUGAUAUGAUGAUGAUGAUGAUACGGUACGGAUUACCAGUGAGGCCCAUUCUACGCCCCUGGACUAUGUUAAGAGAAAGACCAGUGAGGCCC
rnacentral:lncRNA from 1 species